rnacentral:rRNA from 1 species
GACAGAGGAUGCAAGCGUUAUCCGGAAUCAUUGGGCGUAAAGAGCGCGCAGGCGGCUUGGCAAGUCGGGUGUGAAAUCCCGGGGCUCAACCCCGGGACUGCAUUCGAUACUGUCAGGCUAGAGGUAGGUAGGGGAGAUCGGAAUUCCUGGUGUAGCGGUGAAAUGCGCAGAUAUCAGGAGGAACACCGGUGGCGAAGGCGGAUCUCUGGGCCUUACCUGACGCUCAGGCGCGAAAGCUAGGGGAGCGAACAGG